UACGUAGGGGGCAAGCGUUGUCCGGAAUCAUUGGGCGUAAAGCGCGUGUAGGCGGCCAGAUAAGUCCGUUCUGAAAGCCCGGGGCUCAACCCCGGGAGGCGGAUGGAUACUGUUUGGCUCGAGUCCGGAAGAGGCGAGUGGAAUUCCCGGUGUAGCGGUGAAAUGCGCAGAUAUCAGGAGGAACACCGGUGGCGAAGGCAGCUCGCUGGGACGUGACUGACGCUGGAGACGCGAAAGCGUGGGGAGCAAACAGG
rnacentral:rRNA from 1 species